AACUUGAGAGUAAGUUAAGAAUAUUAACACUAUUGACGACUACUCCUUGCACACCAUUUUACCACUGAUACUUUCGUCGCGAAACCAUCACUUCGGCCACUUCUGCCGCCAUUGCACAUUCCGAUAUAAUCCACCGUCGCCGAAACUCCUGAAGCUCCGGCGACUCCGAUGAAUCUUCUGUUGUGAACGCCAAAUCACUCCAUCGAACAAGAAAUGGAAUCUAGCUCCGGCAGCAAUCACCGCAAUUUGGCUGAGGAAAGCGAGAGAAGCAUCGCCGCGGUUCAUGAUCAACCAGAGCCCCGCACCACCGGCGGCGGUGACGACGAUGAUCCACUCGAGAGAAGCUCCGAGGUUUUGGCGAAGGGAUUGUCAUCGAUGCUCUCGUCCGUCAUCAAGGACUUCGAUUUCAGAGCACGAGAAACUCUUGGCAGCCAGGACCAGCUCUCCUCCGCCAUCGAUCGUCUCACUCGAGAACUUGAUCAAUUACUUGAAGAUGCACCUUUACCGUUCAUAAUGCAACAUGCUGCUAAGAUUUCUAGUGUUAGGAAGAGAGUUUCAUCACUGAAUUUACUUCUAAAAUCCAUACAAGGGCGGAUUGAUAACAUAGACCGCAUAAUGUCAAUUGGCACCACUCAUGAGAAGACAACCCCUGAAGGUUCUGAGUGAAACGUCAACAUCUGGAUCAACUUCAAUUGUUUCCAAUCUCCAUACGUGUACUUUUGUGAUGCACCCUUAACCCCUUGAGUUGUAUUAUUCUUAGGCAUGUAUUUGCAUGGUUGCCAGUUAAAGAUUCCUAAUUGGCAUUUAUUACAAGUGUGUAUUCAGUAUGAUCAAGACUUCUAAAGGGAGUUGAAGCGGUCAUUGAUCCAUUAUAUGGAUGAGGAUGGCUUGUUUCGGGAUCGUAACUCCCUUCAUGCCUAGAGCAACACGGUAUGACCCUAACUCCCUGUUAGUUAAAUCUGGCACAAUCUAAAUUCUAAAAUAAAGAAAGAGUUAUAAUUCAUUUACUAAUGAAAUCUGUGUUAAAUUGAAUUGCGAUAACUUUAAACUAGGCUUCCUUGAGAUCUAGCUCUCUUUGCUGGAAGGUUAAUCUUUGAUUCAGUCACUCUCACUUAAAAAUCUCAAACUCAAGUAUAU